CCAUCUCCAGCCGACGCGCAGCCUCUCCGGCGAUGCCUUUGAUUGAACUUUUAUUCACGCAUCCAUCUUGUUUCCUCGCCGCAGGAGAUUGGACCGGAAAGACACGUAGCCCCAGCGUGGUUGGGGAUGGUAAAGGUAAAAGUUCCCCUUGCACAUAAGUGCUAGUUGUUCCCGAAUCUAGGGGGCGGUGUUCACUCCGUUUCAAAGCCGAAGAGCCAGCGCUGUCUGAAGACUUCUCCGUGGUCAUGUGGUCGGCAUAACUAAACGCCAAAGGCACGGAACACUGUUCCCUUCCCACCAAAGGUGGUCCCUAUUUUUCUACUUACAUUUUUUACGUGCUUUCAAACUGCUAGGUUGGCAGAAACUGGGACAAGUAACGGGAGUUAUGCAGUACUAGGGAUUCAAACCACUGAAUAGUCUGCAUUACUAUUAAUCUUCUUAUCGUUCCUAUCACCCAUCUCCCACUUACGACUGUAUGACUGUAACCUUCUUGCUGGCAUCCUUACAAUUUAUAUUGACUGUUUCCUAAUAUGAUUUGAUUGCUUAUUUGUUCCCUAUGACUAUCAUUAAGUGUUGUACCUUAUGAUUCUUGAUGAAUGUAUCUUUUCUUUUAUGUACACCGAGAGCAUAUGCACUAAGAGAAAUUCCUUGUGUGUCCAAUAAAGAAUUCUAUUCUAUUCUA